UCGUGCAGACCUGCCGGGAAGAGCACAAGAAGAAACACCCGGACUCUUCCGUCAAUUUCGCGGAAUUCUCCAAGAAGUGUUCGGAGAGAUGGAAGACCAUGUCUGCAAAGGAGAAGUCGAAGUUUGAAGAUAUGGCAAAAAGUGACAAAGCUCGCUAUGAUAGGGAGAUGAAAAAUUACGUUCCUCCCAAAGGUAGGAAAGGAUAAGAAAGGAAAGAAAUAGGAUCACAAUGCUCCUAAAAGGCCGCCAUCUGCCUUUUUCCUGUUUUGCUCUGAACAUCGCCCAAAGAUCAAAAGUGAACACCCGGGCCUAUCCAUUGGGGAUACUGCAAAGAAAUUGGGUGAAAUGUGGUCCGAGCAGUCAGCCAAAGAUAAACAACCAUAUGAACAGAAAGCAGCUAAGCUAAAGGAGAAAUAUGAAAAGGAUAUUGCUGCAUAUCGUGCCAAGGGCAAAAGUGAAGCAGGAAAGAAGGGCCCUGGCAGGCCAACAGGCUCAAAGAAGAAGAA